CGCAGCCAGGAACUGAAAGGGGCCUGCCCCAGCCAGGGGAGCUGGAGGGGCUCCUCGGAGAGCCGCUUGGUGUCCUGGGGGCAGAGCUCCAUCCUGCUGCUCCCUAGGAAUCCCAGGCUGGCUCCCUCCGCACCACACACUCUAAAUAAGGCGCUGUUCCAGCCUUUCACAUUCCCCGUUGCAUAUCAUCCUCCAGCCUGCGAGGUGUGUGAGGUGGACUGAGUACCAGCUCCCCAAGAUUCCUGUGUCCUAUUCCCCAAAACUGUCUCUCCAUUCUAGCCCCUGGACAAUAGGGGCUCUCCUGUCCCCUACCUCCCCAGGGAGACAUGAGGUGAAUGGGCCUCCGAGUAGGAUUUUGUAUUCAUGGAACCAUCCACAGAUACCACUUGGGGAAUCCUUGGAUUUAGAACCUUCAGUGACAGAGGAGUGACUGUAAGAGACUUGUUCAUCCUUUGCGUUUUGGUAUUUUCCGGG